rnacentral:rRNA from 1 species
CACGUAGGGCGCGAGCGUUGUCCGGAAUUAUUGGGCGUAAAGAGCUCGUAGGCGGCCUGUUGCGUCCGCUGUGAAAGCCCGGGGCUUAACCCCGGGUCUGCAGUGGAUACGGGCAGGCUAGAGGUAGGUAGGGGAGAAUGGAAUUCCCGGUGUAGCGGUGAAAUGCGCAGAUAUCGGGAGGAACACCGGUGGCGAAGGCGGUUCUCUGGGCCUUACCUGACGCUGAGGAGCGAAAGCGUGGGGAGCGAACAGGG